rnacentral:rRNA from 1 species
CAGCAACGCAGCGUGAGUGAAGAAGGCCUUCGGGUUGUAAAGCUCUGUUGCCCGUGACGAAGUGCCACAUCAGGAAAUGGGUGUGGUUUGACGGUAGCGGGAGAGGAAGCCCCGGCUAACUACGUGCCAGCAGCCGCGGUAAUACGUAGGGGGCGAGCGUUGUCCGGAUUUAUUGGGCGUAAAGGGCGUGUAGGCGGUUCUUUAAGUCAGGGGUGAAACCCCGGAGCUCAACUCCGGGCCUGCCUCUGAAACUGGGGAACUUGAGUGCUCUAGAGGGCAAUGGAAUUGCCGGUGUAGCAGUGAAAUGCGUAGAGAUCGGCAGGAACACCAGUGGCGAGGGCGACUGCCUGGGGAGUAACUGACGCUGAGGCGCGAAAGCUGGGGGAGCAAACGGGAUUAGAUACCCCGGUAGUCUCAGCCGUAAACGAUGAGUGCUAGGUGUAGCGGGUAUCGACCCCCGCUGUGCCGGAGUUAACGCAAUAAGCACUCCGCCUGGGGAGUACGGCCGCAAGGUUG